rnacentral:lncRNA from 1 species
GAAAAUCAAAUUCAUGAAGCAGCAAACAAAAAUCAGAAGCAGCAAACAAAAAUCAUGAAGCAAUCAAAACCCAAUUCACUGAUGAACAAAUAACCUCAGAAAUUAAAUAAAAAAAAUCAAAGAAAAUCAAAUUCAUGAAGCAGCAAACAAAAAUCAGAAGCAGUAAACAAAAAUCAUGAAGCAAUCAAAAACAAAUUCACUAAUGAAGGCAAAAUCGCAAACAAAAUCAAACACAGAACCUCAGAAGGCGACGCUCGGCGAGGACGACAGAGGAGGCGGGCUCGGCGAGAAGCAGGACGCGGUGGUGGUUGCGGUGGUCAACAUCGUUGCUGCUGUGGAUGGCUGGCUGCGGGAUGCGGUGGCGAUGGCGAUGGCGGUGGGCUUCACUGAUGGCUGUGGGUGGCUGGGUGCUGGUGAUUUCGAGCUUGGGUGAUUUCGAGCUUGGCUGGGUGCUGGUGAUUUCGAGCUCUGGAGAGUGGAAAGUGGAAACUGAUUGCUAUUAGGGCUUCCUUCCAUUUACGCGU